GGAAGGAGUCCCUCUUCUCCUUCACAACCUCUUGUUCCACAUCCCUCCUGAAGUUAUGCACUCAGCUGAAGAGAACGACCUUCCCAUAGAGAGAAGGCUCAGCCUUUGGCCAAUGGUAUUCAAGUAGCUGCCCUCCUUGCGGGAGCCUGUAAACAAGUUCUAUAGGGCGCACUUCCUCCUUUGAUGCCUUUCGAGAUGCAAUUAGGAGAGGUGCACGAAAUGACUAUCAUUGUCAAAGUCCCAGUAGUUU
rnacentral:sRNA from 1 species